UACAGAGGUCUCGAGCGUUGUUCGGAUUCAUUGGGCGUAAAGGGUGCGUAGGUGGCAUGGUAAGUCGGGUGUGAAAUCUCAGGGCUCAACCCUGAAACUGCACUCGAUACUGCCGUGCUCGAGCACUGGAGAGGAGACUGGAAUUUACGGUGUAGCAGUGAAAUGCGUAGAUAUCGUAAGGAAGACCGGUGGCGAAAGCUAGUCUCUGGACAGUCGCUGACACUGAGGCACGAAGGCCAGGGGAGCAAACGGG
rnacentral:rRNA from 1 species